GCCGGGCGCGGUGGUGCGUGCCUGCAGUCCCAGCUACUCCGGAGGCUGAGGUGGGAGGAUCGCUUGAGCCCAGGAAUUCUGGGUUGUAGUGCGCUAUGCGUAUCGGGUGUCCGCACUAAGUUCGGCAUCAAUAUGGUGACCUCCUGGGAGCAGGGGACCACCAGGUUUCCUAAGGAGGGGUGAGCCGGCCCAGAUCGGAAACAGCAAGUCAAAACUCCGGUGUUGAUUUGUAGUCGGAUUGUGCCUGUGAAUAGCCACCGCACUCCAGCCUGGGCAACAUAGCGAAACCCGGUCUCAA
ensembl:misc_RNA Metazoa_SRP Metazoan signal recognition particle RNA